rnacentral:rRNA from 1 species
CCUACGGGUGGCAGCAGUAGGGAAUAUUGCUCAAUGGGGGAAACCCUGAAGCAGCAACGCCGCGUGGAGGAUGAAGGUUUUAGGAGUGUAAACUCCUUUUGUUAGAGAAGAUUAUGACGGUAUCUAACGAAUAAGCACCGGCUAACUCCGUGCCAGCAGCCGCGGUAAUACGGAGGGUGCAAGCGGUACUCGGAAUCACUGGGCGUAAAGAGUGCGUAGGCGGGGUAAUAAGUCAGAUGUGAAAACCUGUAGCUUAACUACAGAACUGCAUUUGAAACUGUUACUCUGGAGUGUGGGAGAGGUAGGUGGAAUUCUUGGUGUAGGGGUAAAAUGCGUAGAGAUCAAGAGGAAUACUCAUUGCGAAGGCGACCUGCUGGAACAUUACUGACGCUGAUGCACGAAAGCGUGGGGAGCAAACAGGAUUAGAUACCCCUGUAGUC